rnacentral:rRNA from 1 species
UAGGGAAUCUUCCACAAUGGGCGAAAGCCUGAUGGAGCAACGCCGCGUGGGUGAAGAAGGUCUUCGGAUCGUAAAACCCUGUUGUUAGAGAAGAAAGUGCGUGAGAGUAACUGUUCACGUUUCGACGGUAUCUAACCAGAAAGCCACGGCUAACUACGUGCCAGCAGCCGCAGUAAUACGUAGGUGGCAAGCGUUAUCCGGAUUUAUUGGGCGUAAAGCGAGCGCAGGCGGUUGCUUAGGUCUGAUGUGAAAGCCUUCGGUUUAACCGAAGAAGUGCAUCGGAAACCGGGCGACUUGAGUGCAGAAGAGGAGAGUGGAACUCCAUGUGUAGCGGUGAAAUGCGUAGAUAUAUGGAAGAACACCAGAGGCGAAAGCGGCUCUCUGGUCUGUAACUGACGCUGAGGUUCGAAAGCGUGGGUAGCAAACAGG